GCCUAACACAUGCAAGUCGAACGAGACCUUCGGGUCUAGUGGCGCACGGGUGCGUAACGCGUGGGAAUCUGCCCUUGGGUUCGGAAUAACAGUGAGAAAUUACUGCUAAUACCGGAUGAUGUCGCAAGACCAAAGAUUUAUCGCCCAGGGAUGAGCCCGCGUAGGAUUAGCUAGUUGGUGAGGUAAAGGCUCACCAAGGCGACGAUCCUUAGCUGGUCUGAGAGGAUGAUCAGCCACACUGGGACUGAGACACGGCCCAGACUCCUACGGGAGGCAGCAGUGGGGAAUAUUGGACAAUGGGCGAAAGCCUGAUCCAGCAAUGCCGCGUGAGUGAUGAGGGCCUUAGGGUUGUAAAGCUCUUUUACCCGGGAUGAUAAUGACAGUACCGGGAGAAUAAGCCCCGGCUAACUCCG
rnacentral:rRNA from 1 species